rnacentral:rRNA from 1 species
AUGCAGUUCAUCCUAGAUAGGAUUCGUGCGCGCCUUGCUCGUUGGAAGGGCAGACUAAUGCAUAUCGUCGGCCGUAGGGUGCUCGUCCGCUGCAUCCUCUCCGCCAUGCCGACAUUCGCCCUCACGGUACUGAGAGUGCCAAAGAAGUUUUUCAAGGAGGUAGAUAAAGCUAGACGACGUUUUCUAUGGGCACAAGACGAAGAAGCAACUGGGGGAAAGUGUAAGGUAGCAUGG